rnacentral:rRNA from 1 species
GUGCCAGCGCCGCGGUAAUACGUAGGGUGCGAGCGUUAAUCGGAAUUACUGGGCGUAAAGCGUGCGCAGGCGGUUUUGUAAGACCGAUGUGAAAUCCCCGGGCUCAACCUGGGAACUGCAUUGGUGACUGCAAGGCUGGAGUGCGGCAGAGGGGGAUGGAAUUCCGCGUGUAGCAGUGAAAUGCGUAGAUAUGCGGAGGAACACCGAUGGCGAAGGCAAUCCCCUGGGCCUGCACUGACGCUCAUGCACGAAAGCGUGGGGAGCAAACAGG